rnacentral:rRNA from 1 species
AUUGAACACUGGCGGCAUGCCUAACACAUGCAAGUCGAACGGCAGCAUGAAUAGGGGUAACCUUAUUUGAUGGCGAGUGGCGGACGGGUGAGUAAUAUGUAGGAAUCUACCUAGAGGAGGGGGAUAACUUGGGGAAACCCAAGCUAAUACCACAUAAGCCCUACGGGGGAAAGCAGGGGAUCGAAAGACCUUGCGCCUUAUGAUGAGCCUACAUCGGAUUAGCUAGUUGGUGGGGUAAAGGCCUACCAAGGCGACGAUCCGUAGCUGGUCUGAGAGGAUGAUCAGCCACACUGGGACUGAGACACGGCCCAGACUCCUACGGGAGGGAGCAGUGGGGAAUAUUGGACAAUGGGCGAAAGCCUGAUCCAGCAAUGCCGCGUGUGUGAAGAAGGCCUUAGGGUUGUAAAGCACUUUCAGUAGGGAGGAAGGUUGUAAUGCUAAUAUCAUUGCAAAUUGACGUUACCUACAGAAGAAGCACCGGCUAACUCUGUGCCAGCCGCCGCGGUAA